rnacentral:rRNA from 1 species
UGGUGCGAUCAUACCAGCACUAAUGCACCGGAUCCCAUCAGAACUCCGAAGUUAAGCGUGCUUGGGCGAGAGUAGUACUAGGAUGGGUGACCUCCUGGGAAGUCCUCGUGUUGCACCCC